AUUGAACGCUGGCGGUAUGCUUAACACAUGCAAGUCGAACGGCAGCACAGCAGAGCUUGCUCUGUGGGUGGCGAGUGGCGGACGGGUGAGUAAUACAUCGGGACCUACCCAGACGCGGGGGAUAACGUAGGGCAACUUACGCUAAUACCGCAUACGUCCUACGGGCAAACGAAGAGGAUCUUCGGACCUUCCGCUGUUGUACGGACCGCUGUUCGAUUAGCUUGUUGGUUCGGUAAUGGCUAACCAAGGCGACGAUCGAUAGCUGGUCUGAGAGGAUGAUCAGCCACACUGGGAAUGAGACACGGCCCAGACUCCUACGGGAGGCAGCAGUGGGGAAUAUUGGACAAUGGGCGCAAGCCUGAUCCAGCAAUACCGCGUGUGUGAAGAAGGCCUUCGGGUUGUAAAGCACUUUUAUCAGGAACGAAACGCUGUCGGUUAAUACCCGGCGGAACUGACGGUACCUGAGGAAUAAGCACCGGCUAACUUCGUGCCAGCAGCCGCGGUAA
rnacentral:rRNA from 1 species